UACGUAGGGGGCAAGCGUUGUCCGGAUUUAUUGGGGCGUAAAGCGCACGUAGGCGGUUCGUUAUGUCGGAUGUGAAAGCCCUUGGCUUAACCGAGGAAGUGCAUCCGAAACUGGCGAGCUAGAGUACUAAAGAGGAUCGCGGAAUUCCCGGUGUAGAGGUGAAAUGCGUAGAGAUCCGGAAGAACACCGGUGGCGAAGGCGGCCUGCUGGGACAGUGCUGACGCUGAGGCGCGACAGCGUGGGGAGCAAACGAGG
rnacentral:rRNA from 1 species